rnacentral:rRNA from 1 species
GACGAACGCUGGCGGCGUGCUUAACACAUGCAAGUCGAGCGGUAAGGCCCUUUCGGGGGUACACGAGCGGCGAACGGGUGAGUAACACGUGGGUGACCUGCCCUCAGCUCUGGGAUAAGCCCGGGAAACCGGGUCUAAUACCGGAUAUGACUCCAUGACGCAUGUUGUGGGGUGGAAAGCCUUGUGCGGCUGAGGAUGGGCCCGCGGCCUAUCAGCUUGUUGGUGGGGUGAUGGCCACCAAGGCGACGACGGGUAGCCGGCCUGAGAGGGCGACCGGCCACACUGGGACUGAGACACGGCCCAGACUCCUACGGGAGGCAGCAGUGGGGAAUCUUGCGCAAUGGGCGAAAGCCUGACGCAGCGACGCCGCGUGAGGGAUGACGGCCU